rnacentral:rRNA from 1 species
AUGACCGAAGGUGAACAUGACCGUAAGGUCAUAGAUUUUUAUGGAACCUUGAAGGAGAUCAUUCAGUUAGAUUAUAACUUGGAAGAUAGGUCAGUUGUUUUGUUUAAAUGUGACUGGUUUAAACUUGAUGGAAAGAAGACUGAACUUAAAAAUGAUGGUUUUUUCAAAAGCAUACAUGUUGGAAGUUUGUGGUACAAGGAUGAUUCUUUGAUUCUGGCUACUCAGGCUAGUAAGGUCUUUUAUUUGCCAGACACGAAGUAUGGGAAAAAUUGGCAAGUUGUGCAAACAUUUGACCAUAGGCAUCUGUUCAAUAUUAGUGAAACUGAGGGUGUACCUUUUAGUGGUCCU